rnacentral:rRNA from 1 species
UACAGAGGUCUCAAGCGUUGUUCGGAUUCAUUGGGCGUAAAGGGUGCGUAGGCGGCGCGGUAAGUCGGGUGUGAAAACUCGGGGCUCAACCCCGAGACGCCAUCCGAUACUGCUGUGGCUUGAAUCUGGUAGGGGAGCACGGAAUUCCUGGUGUAGCGGUGAAAUGCGCAGAUAUCAGGAGGAACACCGGUGGCGAAGGCGGUGCUCUGGGCCAGUAUUGACGCUGAGGAGCGAAAGCGUGGGUAGCAAACAGG